CUGGCUCCCUGCAGGAGAAAAGCCUUUAUAUGUAAAAAGGAUGUAAAUAGGAUGUAAAUCCUAUGUAAAUAGUAUGGAGAGUAAACUCAAGCCCAUUCCUGGCCGGCUCCACUGUUGAAAGGAUGUGAACUGAGAAAGCAGGAUGGAAUGAGGCACAGGGACUUGUCUGCAAUGUUAUCAACAAAAGGGAGAUGAGAGAAGAUCACAGAAAAUUUGAUGGCUCCAACCAUCUGGCAUUCUUGAUAUUUUCUAAAAGGGUUUCAGUGUUGGUCUGUUCACACACAUCUAAAAUCCAGAGCAAAGAUGAACUGUCUGGUCACUAUGUCUGCCACUUUCACUGAUACAGCGUCACCUCAACAGCACCGGCUUAGAGAGGAAAGAACACUGCCCAGAAGGGAAGGAAGUGGACUUCUGGG
ensembl:lncRNA